UACGGGGGGAGCAAGCGUUGUUCGGAUUUACUGGGCGUAAAGGGCGCGUAGGCGGCCACCGCAAGUCGACUGUGAAAUCUCCGGGCUUAACCCGGAAAGGUCAGCCGAUACUGCGGGGCUAGAGUGCAGAAGGGGCAACUGGAAUUCUCGGUGUAGCGGUGAAAUGCGUAGAUAUCUGGAGGAACACCGGUGGCGAAGGCGGCAUCCUGGACCGGCAUUGACGCUGAGGCGCGAAAGCCAGGGGAGCAAACGGG
rnacentral:rRNA from 1 species